GUUGGUUACGGUGACAUGGCGCCCCAAUCACCUUCUGGGAAAUUCAUCGGAAGUCUAUGUGCGGUCUGCGGUGUACUUACAAUCGCACUUCCGGUUCCGGUUAUUGUUAAUAAC
rfam:Nematostella vectensis strain CH2 x CH6 NEMVEscaffold_55_Cont8404, whole genome shotgun sequence.